GAUGAACGCUAGCGGGAGGCCUAACACAUGCAAGCCGAGCGGUAGAGUUUCUUCGGAAACUUGAGAGCGGCGCACGGGUGCGUAACACGUGUGCAACCUACCUUUAUCUGGGGGAUAGCCUUUCGAAAGGAAGAUUAAUACCCCAUAAUAUAAUGAUUGUCAUCAAUUAUUAUUGAAAACUCCGGUGGAUAGAGAUGGGCACGCGCAAGAUUAGAUAGUUGGUGAGGUAACGGCUCACCAAGUCAAUGAACUUUAGGGGUCCUGAGGGGGAGAUCCCCCACACUGGAACUGAGACACAGACCAGAAUCCUACGGAAGGGAGCAGAAAGGAACACUAGACAAUGGGGGAUGGCCUGAUCCAGCCAUCCCGCGUGAAGGAGGACGGUCCUAUGGAAUGUAAACUUCUUUUGUACAGGGAUAAACCUACCCACGUGAGGGUAGCUGAAGGUACUGUACGAAUAAGCACCGGCUAACUCCGUG
rnacentral:rRNA from 1 species